rnacentral:sRNA from 1 species
UAACGGUUUUUUCUGUCAGAUGUGGCAAAU